rnacentral:rRNA from 1 species
CCCUUAGAUGUUCUGGGCCGCACGCGCGCUACACUGACGAAGUCAGCGAGCAUCUCCUACGCCGAAAGGUGCGGGGAAUCUUGUGAAACUUUGUCGUGCUGGGGAUUGAUUUUUGAAAUUCUUGAUCAUAAACGAGGAAUUCCUAGUAAGCGCAAGUCAGCAGCUUGCGUUGAUUACGUCCCUGCCCUUUGUACACACCGCCCGUCGCUACUACCGAUUGAAUGGUUUAGUGAGAUGUUUGGACCGGAACUCUCUUGCUCAGCAAUGGGCGAGAGAGAGUCUGAGAAGUCCCUCUAACUGUAUCAUUUAGAGGAAGUAAAAGUCGUAACA